rnacentral:lncRNA from 1 species
UUUUAGUUUUUGAAUCUUUCAAACAAGUCCUAUUGUAGAUAGCAUAGUUGGUAAUUGCUUCCUUGAACUCAUCUUUGGUACCAAAUCUGGCUCCUAACACCCACUUAAAAUUAGUCAUCUUUUUAGGCAUGGCAAAUGGUGGAUAAUGCUCUUUGUUGCUAUCAUCUGAAUCAUCACCAUCAUCCUUUAAAAGGACUUGUUUGAAACGAUUCAAAAACUAAAAGGACUUGUUUGAGACUUUUGAAACUUAAAGG